rnacentral:rRNA from 1 species
GACGAACGCUGGCGGCGUGCUUAACACAUGCAAGUCGAGCGGUAAGGCCCUUUCGGGGGUACACGAGCGGCGAACGGGUGAGUAACACGUGGGUGACCUGCCCUCAGCUCUGGGAUAAGCCUGGGAAACCGGGUCUAAUACUGGAUAUGACUCCAUGACGCAUGUUGUGGGGUGGAAAGCCUUGUGCGGCUGAGGAUGGGCCCGCGGCCUAUCAGCUUGUUGGUGGGGGAUGGCCUACCAAGGCGACGACGGGUAGCCGGCCUGAGAGGGCGACCGGCCACACUGGGACUGAGACACGGCCCAGACUCCUACGGGAGGCAGCAGUGGGGAAUCUUGCGCAAUGGGCGAAAGCCUGACGCAGCGACGCCGCGUGAGGGAUGGCGGCCUGGUGUAAC